GCUGGGUGCAGUGGUGCACACCUGUAAUCCCAAGGGCUUGGGAGGCUGAGGCAGGAGGAUCAUGAGUUCAAAGUCAUUUUCAUCAACCUAGUGAGACUCUGUCUCUA
rnacentral:sRNA from 1 species